GAUCAGUGGCGUCGAGGACGAACGCUGGCGGCGUGCUUAACACAUGCAAGUCGAACGAGGAUUAUGUUGGAAGGGGCUUCGGCCUGGAAGGCGUAAUUCGAGUGGCGGACGGGUGAGUAACGCGUGAACAAUCUGUCCCGGACAGGGGAAUAACACUUGGAAACAGGUGCUAAUACCGCAUAAGACCACGCCCUCGCAUGGGGGAGGGGUAAAAGGAGGAAUCCGGUUCGGGGUGAGUUCGCGUCCGAUUAGAUAGUUGGUGAGGUAACGGCCCACCAAGUCGACGAUCGGUAGCCGACCUGAGAGGGUGAUCGGCCACAUUGGAACUGAGAGACGGUCCAAACUCCUACGGGAGGCAGCAGUGGGGAAUAUUGGGCAAUGGGCGAAAGCCCUGACCCAGCAACGCCGCGUGAGUGAAGAAGGCUUUCGGGUUGUAAAGCUCUGUUAUAGGGGACGAAGGAAGUGACGGUACCCUAUAAGGAAGCCCCGGCUAACUACGUGCCAGCCGCUGC
rnacentral:rRNA from 1 species